AGAGUUUGAUCCUGGCUCAGAAUCAACGCUGGCGGCGUGCCUAACACAUGCAAGUCGAACGAGAAAGUGGAGCAAUCCAUGAGUAAAGUGGCGACCGGGUGAGUAACACGUGACUAACCUGCCCUAGAGUGGGGGAUAACCUCGGGAAACCGGGGCUAAUACCGCAUAACAUCGCGAGGGGAAGAUCCUUGCGAUCAAAGGAGCAAUUCGCUCAAGGAGGGGGUCGCGGCUGAUUAGCUAGUUGGUGAGGUAACGGCUCACCAAGGCGAAGAUCAGUAGCCGGCCUGAGAGGGCGCACGGCCACACUGGAACUGAAACACGGUCCAGACUCCUACGGGAGGCAGCAGUGGGGAAUUUUGCGCAAUGGGGGAAACCCUGACGCAGCAACGCCGCGUGGAGGAUGAAGUCCCUUGGGAUGUAAACUCCUUUCGAUCGGGACGAUAAUGACGGUACCGGAAGAAGAAGCACCGGCUAACUCUGUGCCAGCAGCCGCGGUAAUACAGAGGGUGCAAGCGUUGUUCGGAAUUAUUGGGCGUAAAGGGCGCGUA
rnacentral:rRNA from 1 species